GAUGAACGCUAGCGACAGGCUUAACACAUGCAAGUCGAGGGGCAGCAGGGGAGUAGCAAUACUCCCGCUGGCGACCGGCGCACGGGUGAGUAACACGUAUGCAACCUGCCCUUGUCAGGGGGAUAAGCGGAAGAAAUUCCGUCUAAUACCGCAUAAUGCUGCGGGGAGACAUCUCCCUGCAGCCAAAGAUUUAUCGGACAAGGAUGGGCAUGCGGCGCAUUAGCUUGUUGGCGGGGUAACGGCCCACCAAGGCGACGAUGCGUAGGGGUUCUGAGAGGAGGGUCCCCCACACUGGUACUGAGACACGGACCAGACUCCUACGGGAGGCAGCAGUGAGGAAUAUUGGUCAAUGGCCGGGAGGCUGAACCAGCCAAGUCGCGUGAGGGAAGACGGUCCUAUGGAUUGUAAACCUCUUUUGUCAGGGAGCAAAAACUGCCACGUGUGGCAGGAUGAGAGUACCUGAAGAAAAAGCAUCGGCUAACUCCGUGCCAGCAGCCGCGGUAAUACGGAGGAUGCGAGCGUUAUCCGGAUUUAUUGGGUUUAAAGGGUGCGUAGGCGGACAGUUAAGUCAGCGGUAAAAUUGAGAGGCUCAACCUCUUCCCGCCGUUGAAACUGAUUGUCUUGAGUGGGCGAGAAGUAUGCGGAAUGCGUGGUGUAGCGGUGAAAUGCAUAGAUAUCACGCAGAACUCCGAUUGCGAAGGCAGCAUACCGGCGCCCAACUGACGCUGAAGCACGAAAGCGUGGGUAUCGAACAGGAUUAGAUACCCUGGUAGUCCACGCAGUAAACGAUGAAUACUAAUUGUUCGGGUCAAAUGAGAUCUGAGUGAUACAGCGAAAGCGUUAAGUAUUCCACCUGGGGAGUACGCCGGCAACGGUGAAACUCAAAGGAAUUGACGGGGGCCCGCACAAGCGGAGGAACAUGUGGUUUAAUUCGAUGAUACGCGAGGAACCUUACCCGGGCUCAAACGACACAGGAAUGAUCUGAGAAAUCAGGCAGUCCUCCGGGACCUGUGUCGAGGUGCUGCAUGGUUGUCGUCAGCUCGUGCCGUGAGGUGUCGGCUUAAGUGCCAUAACGAGCGCAACCCCCAUCGACAGUUGCCAGCAGGUCAAGCUGGGCACUCUGUCGAGACUGCCGGCGCAAGCUGUGAGGAAGGCGGGGAUGACGUCAAAUCAGCACGGCCCUUACGUCCGGGGCGACACACGUGUUACAAUGGCAGGUACAGCGGGAAGCCACCUGGCGACAGGGAGCGGAACCCGAAAGCCUGUCUCAGUUCGGAUUGGAGUCUGCAACUCGACUCCAUGAAGCUGGAUUCGCUAGUAAUCGCGCAUCAGCCACGGCGCGGUGAAUACGUUCCCGGGCCU
rnacentral:rRNA from 1 species